UAGACCUUACUCUUAAAUGAAGAUUCAUGACACAAUGAAAUAUUCAGCAAUAUGUUUUCUGUGGCUGCACAUCAAAUACAAAUAAAUGUGGAUGUUUUGCAUCAUUUGUUUGCAAGUGAACUCAAACUUCAUCUUGACAUAUUUGGUGUCUUUAGAAACUGAUUUCUUCUGGAAGUUAUAAUAAAUGUCUGUGGGUUUAACAGAUGUUUAAAUAGAUAUCCUCCACAUAGCGUGUGUCAUGAUGCAUCAAAUUAAUGUGUUGAUUAUGUAAUCAGAUACACAUUUAUUUGUAUUUGAUGUGCAGCCACAGAAAACAUAUUGCUGAAUAUUUCAUUGUGUCAUGAAGCUUUAUUUAAGAGUAAGGCCUAUUACAUCCCAUAAUGUCUACAGAACACAGUAUCAUUUUACUAUCCGGUAUAAACAGUUAA